rnacentral:lncRNA from 1 species
CACAAUGCUCAUCAUGACAUCAUAGCGUUUCCUAGGAGGACCAGGUCUAUGCCUGUGUACUUGCACACUCAUUUGUGAGUUGGAUCAUGGAUCAUGGCAGGUUUGGGAACAGUAAGUACUUUGCAAGAAACUCGUGUGGCUGAGGUCAAAGAAAUUAUUAUGUCUGCGCAUUCUUGGCAGAUGCUUGGGGAGCUGUGCAGAGCUUUCUUCUUUUGCAAAGCAAAGCGAAGUUCAUUCCAGACUGGGGCUGUCCAGAGAAGAGACGCUCUAAACGCCACAGAGAUCACAGGAAUGGGGACUUCAGAGGGACUGUAUACUAAGCAAUGAGCUUAACACAAAUCAGAGUAUAUAUGAUUCCUUGUCCAGAGAGUGUCCCAAACGCAGACCAUGGGUGUUGUGUGCAGAACUUUCUUGGUUUCAAGGAUUUCUCACCUUGGAUUUCAAGGUGAGAAUGUUGAAAUCACUGGAAUUCUGAAGUCAGAGACCUUGUUUUGCAGAACGACUCUUCAGUUCCUUCAGCCAAGUGGUCUGGGUGCUCCGCUUCAUCAGAGUGAAGAGGGGAUGCUUUGAAUCUCUGGGAAUAUGAUGUUUCUUUUAUCUGUUCACAGACCUGUUCUUUUAUCUGUUCCAUUAUGUGCUGCCAGAAAGAAGCAAGAAAACUGUAACUACUAAAACAGCCAGUGUUCCUCACUGUGCCUUGGGUUCCAUGCCUUGAGUUUCACAGCUAGGAAACAUGAUCUGCCUGGGCUGAAGGG